rnacentral:rRNA from 1 species
UACAGAGGGGGCAAGCGUUGUUCGGAAUUACUGGGCGUAAAGGGCGCGUAGGCGGCCUUCUAAGUCGAACGUGAAAUCCCUGGGCUCAACCCAGGAACUGCGUCCGAUACUGGAAGGCUUGAAUCCGGGAGAGGGAUGUGGAAUUCCAGGUGUAGCGGUGAAAUGCGUAGAUAUCUGGAGGAACACCGGUGGCGAAGGCGGCAUCCUGGACCGGUAUUGACGCUGAGGCGCGAAAGCCAGGGGAGCAAACGGG